GAUGAACGCUGGCGGCGUGCCUAAUACAUGCAAGUAGAACGCUGAAGGAGGAGCUUGCUCUUCUGGAUGAGUUGCGAACGGGUGAGUAACGCGUAGGUAACCUGCCUGGUAGCGGGGGAACUAUUGGAAACGAUAGCUAAUACCGCAUGACAACAGUUAUUGCAUGAUAACUGUUUAAAAGGGGCAACUGCUCCACUACCAGAUGGACCUGCGUUGUAUUAGCUAGUUGGUGAGGUAACGGCUCACCAAGGCGACGAUACAUAGCCGACCUGAGAGGGUGAUCGGCCACACUGGGACUGAGACACGGCCCAGACUCCUACGGGAGGCAGCAGUAGGGAAUCUUCGGCAAUGGACGGAAGUCUGACCGAGCAACGCCGCGGGAGUGAAGAAGGUUGUCGGAUCGUAAAGCUCUGUUGUAAGAGAAGAACGAGUGUGAGAGUGGAAAGUUCACACUGUGACGGUAUCUUACCAGAAAGGGACGGCUAACUACGUG
rnacentral:rRNA from 1 species